AUUUAAAAUGGAUUUUAAGUGAGUUGAGUUUCAGAAACAUUGAGAAUAUAGUUGAAGGUGAAAUUGAUUGAACAGUGUUAUACUUGGUAUGGAUAGCAAGUAUUGGUUAUAGAGUAGUCGUUAAAUAAUCACAUUGUGUCAUUAUGCCGUAACUUGAAAAUAAUUGAAAGUAUCAAUUCGGCGUCAUUGCGUAUGAAAAAAGUAACAUAUGUACACCAUAAGCCCAAUGCCGUUUCUUCUUAAGGCCAGUAUUCAUCAACCUGGUUUAGCAGGCCCGAAACUCCGUUAAAUCAGUUGCAGUUGUUUUACGCAAGUUUGCUCAAAGUAAGUUCGCGAGUCAUCAACAAAGAAAGAAAGAGUACUGAUGGUGAUAGAAGGGACCACAUACCACUAAAGCCCCUUGUAUAAAUUUAUUCCUGCGAGUGCGAGAGAGAUGCCAGUAGAUAACGACAGGCGCAAUAAAAGGAAUAAUCAAAACAAAUGAUGUUGGGGAAUCAACUAAGAUAAAUUCCACUACCAGAAGUUCAUAUAUAAAAAUAAAAAAAACAUAGCUAGCUAAAAACUCCCCGUCGAUAACAAAAUAGUAGUAAAGUAAUGUAUUUCUUUAAAGUAUUUUUGAUCCAUUUUCUCUUUGUCAAACUUAACUUACCAAAUUUCGGUAUGCAUUUCAAGCAGCCGAUCAUGACGUCAAACAUUUUGAGUCCUAUUAACAAUAAAGUUGCAAUUUUCUCGGUCACUGGUCAAAUCUUAUCCUGCAUUGUUAGAACAAUAUCUUAUCGCAUCAGCAUGAGAUAUCCAAAACAAAAUUUGUUUUUCCAUCCGUCUUGUCCUAUGUUCGUUAAAUGAAUUAACUUACCUCUAAGUUACGAAAUGUUUGAUUUAAAUUUUAUAAUUCAGACAGCUAUCACAUUUAUUAUAGUUGUAACGACGAAGAUAUUUAUUGAUCUCCAUUGUCUAUUCAUAGUCAGUAAAGUCUGUGACAAAAAAAAUGGAUGUUCGAGAAAUCCGUGAAAUGGCAAUCAACGUUGGAGUUAUUAUCGGUCUUCUGUUGCUAAUCUACAUUGCUGUCAACAUUGUUGACUAAGAAUCGAUAUAUGAUGUUGAAUGACUUUUAUAUAUAAACCAUGUGUAUAUAUUGUCUCUUUUGAAUCUUUUUUAUUUGCUUUGUUAAUAUAAUUUAGUGGAUUACGUUGGUGCGGCGUCAGCUCUCACGUGUGUUUCAUUAAUAUCAUUGUUACAGCAAUUUACAUGGAGGUAACAACUCGAUAAACAUUGCCGCCGCACUGUUAUUUUUGCAGUCUUUAAUAUCGGUACUAUAAUUUAUGACGCAUAUGGUUUGUUCUGCACGAAAUUCUUUAUUGAAAAAGGCCUAUAUAUACAAUAAAAUUGAAAAAUUCAAAUGAAA